CGGAUCAACAGAUUGGGGUCUAAGCAUCUCUAGCUCAGACCAAAGGGCUCUGAACUUGCCUAGAUGCGCAGUGAACUCCUUAUCCAAAAGGGAUAGGAUGUUGAUGGACUUCUUGAUCUCAAAUACUCGGCUGAUGUUGGAGAUGUUCCCAUAUAUCUUGUUAAGUGUACUCCAAAGGUCUUUAGCACUCUCACAGUAUGAGUAUGCUUCAAGGAUGGAUGGAGACAGUGAGCUAUGGAGAAUGGAUAAGACCUUGAGGUCUUCUUGUUCCCACUUCUCCUCAGAUACAGA
rnacentral:lncRNA from 1 species